rnacentral:ncRNA from 1 species
CUUGAUAAAGGCAAACUCUGGGUGACUAGGGGGCGCAAAGUAAAGGGUCUUUGAAGGUAUACAGGCGUGUGUUGCGAAUAUGAAGAGUGUCCCUGCCGUCUGUAAACAGUCCAGCAAGAGACAGCCUUACUGCCAAAA